rnacentral:lncRNA from 1 species
GGCGUGGCGGUGGGGACAGAUGGAAAAUUCUAAUCAUGAUCACAGUGACAACUUGGAUGACAGCUAGAGAACCCCAGGCCCCUUGAGAUCCAGGUUAAAAUGGCUUGAGGUCCGCCUUCUCCAAGCUCGUGCAAUUCCAAAACCUUCCCUCUGUGGCUUCGUUUAGGGCUCUUCUCUCUCUCAGGCUCUGGUUUCUUUCUCUCUUUUUUUUUUUUUGUCUUUUGUCUUUUUCAGGCCCUACCCGCGGCAUGUGGAGGUUCCCUAGCAACACCGGAUCGGAGCCACGUCUGCGACCUACACCACAGGUCACAGGGUUCGAACCCGCGUCCUCAUGGAUGCUAGUCAGGUUCGUUCACCACUGAGCCACGACAGGAACUCCAGACUCUGGCUUCUGAGUGUGCCGUCUCUUUCUCCUCCCUGCCUCCCUGUUUCUCCCUCAUUUAAAACUGUAAAAACCCCUUCAGGCUAUUUCUUUCCUAGGCGCCCAUCUCUCUCUUGACCAUUUUUGUGGCACAAAUAGAAAAGGGUUUUGCAUAUCAACUGGCAACCGUCUUUUAAAGGGAUUCAUUGGCCUGGCUCUCCUUGACUUGUCUGUAGGGGCUUCCGCUGGUAUUUGUCUAGCUUCCUUUCUCCUUAUCUUCGUGCUGCAAUUUAUAUUUUCUUUGGGAAACCACCCUGCCUCCCUUUCAGGCUUUUGGAUGGACCAGAGCACCAGAGGGAUAAGACUAGGUAGGUAUUAUUAUCUCCUUUUUAUUUAUUUUUUAAAUCUCUGUUUUAUUUGUUUAUUUAUUUUGUCUUUUUAGGGCCAUACCCUGGGCUUAUGGAAAUUCCCAGGCUAGAAGUCUAAUUGGAUCUGCAGCCGCAGCCUGCACCACAGCCACACAACACGGGAUCUGAGCCGCUUCUGCGGCCUGCACCACAGCUCACAGCAAUGGUGGAUCCUUCAUCCACGGAGCAGGGCCAGGGUUGAACCCGUGUCCUCAUGGAUAUUAGUCAGGUUCCUUACUGCUAAGCCACAAUGGGAACUCCUGUUAUCCCCUUUUUAUGAAGGAGGGUGAGACUGCAAGAGCUUUGCACGUGGUGAUCAAGGUCAGACAGCUAGCGAGAGUGUGAUCUGAGCACAGACCUAACACCAAAGCUGGUGCUCACAGCCCGCACAGUGUAUGAAUAUAAUGAUGGGGAGUCCCCGCUGGUGCAGUGAGUUAAGUGGGUUGCUGAGCAAGUGCAGGUUCCAUCCCUAGCCCAGUGCAGUGGGUUAAAAGGAUCCAGGAUUGCCACAGCUGCAGUGUAGGUGGCAGUCGCAGCUCAGAUUCAGUCCUUAGGCCGAGAGCUUCCAUAUGUUGUGGGU